rnacentral:lncRNA from 1 species
AAGAGGUUCCUGAGCCAGGGGUCAAACUUGUGCCACAGUAGUGGCCUGAGACUGCAGUAACAACUGCCAGAUCCUGAAAAUCCACUGCACCACAAGGGAAAUUCAAACUCCCUGAAAAUGUUUAAUAAUUUAUUAUGCAAUGUUUAAAAACGGAAGAAAAAUUAUAAAUUUGUUUUAAACCUCUCUUUAAAAAAAAAACCAAAAACUUGGUUUAUCACUUUCCGAUUCAGAAAUUCAGAGGCAUGUCUUAAGGAGAAUGUGAUUUAGUACUUCAUUAAACAGUUGCCCUUGGCAGAGCUUUCUUGCCUGCCCACUUGGAUUUCUCACAACCGUCCUAUCCUAAUAAAUCUGUUUCUUGCCUAAUAAAAUAAAAUAAAAUAAAAUAAACAGUCGCCCUUGCUGAAAACAUCCUUACAUAGAAAGACAGAUAUUUAUUUAUUUAUUUAUUAUUUUGCUUUUUGGUGCCGUACCCACAGCUUUUAGAGAUUCCCAGGCUAGGGGUCUAAUCAGAGCUGUUGCUACUGGUCUACACCACAGCCACAGCAAUGCCAGAUCUGAGCCGCAUCUGUGACCUACACCGCAGCUCACGGCAACACCAGAUCCUUAACCCACUGAGCAAGGCCAGGGAUCGAACUCGCAACCUCAUGGUUCCUAGUCAGAUUUGUUUCCACUGGGCCACGGUGAGAACUCCAACAAUUCUUAAUUGUACAAAUAUAGGAGUAUAGUGUACAGAUAAAAGAGAUUUUAGAGGUUUCUCUUUUUAAAUUUUUUGUUGGAUUUCAUCAACAAAGAUAAAUUUUACUGUAUGUAAAAAUUAAAAUAAAAAAAUCCAGUGAUUCUUGACAAGUACGUCGAUAGUCUUAUGCACGGCUGAAAUCAAGAUGAGAAGAUAGUCCCAUCUCCCCUAUUACCAUUUUGUUGCCAGACUCUCCCCUUGCCCUUUAACCUUUGGCAACCAGUGAUUGUUUUUAGCCUAAAGCAUUUCAAACACAUCCAUGUUGUUAUGUGCAUUAACCAUUCCUUUUAUUAUAAAACACUUAUUAUAUGGAUGUACGUUUGCUUAUCCAUCUACCAAGUGAGAGAUACUUAGGCUGUUUCCAGUUUGGAUGAUUUUGAACAAAGCCAUGAAAACGUUUUUGUGGGAACACUAUGGUUUCCAUUUCACUUGGGCAAUUGAAACUGCCAAACUCUUAACCAAGUGUCUCUGCCAUUUUGCAGGGUCUGAGUUCCAGUUGCUGCACAAUCUUUUUUUUUUUUUUUUUAGGGCCAUACCUGUGGUAUAUGGACGUUCCCAGGCUAGGGAUUGAAUCAAAACUGCAGCUGCCAGUAUAGCCAUAGCCAUAGCAAUGCGGGAUCUGAGCCGCAUCUGUGAUCUACACCACAGCUCACAGCAACACCUGAUCCUUAACCAUUGAGCAAGGCCAGGGAUUGAACCUGCAUCCUCAUGGAUACUAUGCACUUGUCUAGUCCACUGAGACACAACUGGAAAUUUGCUACACAUUCUUGACAGCACGUAGUUUUGUCAGUCACAAUAAAUAAAUAAAUUAAUUAAUUAAUUAAUUAAUUCAGAGUUCCUACUGUGGCACAGUGGGUUAGGAAUCCAACUGUAGCAGCUUGGCUUGCUGUGGAGGCAUGAGUUCAAUCCCAGCCUGAUGCAGGGGGUUAAAGGAUCCCGUGUUGCUGCAGUGGUGUAGGUCACAGCUGAAGCUCAGAUUUGAUCCCUGGCCUGGAAACUCCAUAUACCGUGGAUGUGGCCAUAAAAAAAUUUUUUUUGACCGUUCUGAUAGGUGUAUAGUGGUGUAGUGAGUGAUACCUGUUUUUAAUUUACAUUCCCCUAAUGAAUAGUGAUGUUGCGUCUUUUCGUGUGCCUAUUUUCCAUCUGUUUCUCUUUGGUGAAGUCUUUUCAGAUCUUUUGACCAUUUUAAAAAUUGUGUUUCUUAUUUUAUUACUGAAUUUUGAGAGUUCGUUAUAGGUUUUAUUUUUUAUUUUUAUUUAUUUAUUUUUUAUUAUUUUGUCUUUUUGCUGUUUCUUGGGCCGCUCCCGUGGCAUAUUGGAGGUUCCCAGGCUGGGGGUCUAAUCGGAGCUGUAGCCACCGGCCUACACCAGAGCCACAGCAACGCAGGAUCCGAGCCAUGUCUGCAACCUACCCGACAGCUCACGGCAACGCCAGAUCCUUGACUCACUAAGCAAGGCCAGGGAUCGAACCCGCAACCUUAUGGUUCCUAGUCAGAUUCGUUAACCACGGAGCCACAACAGGAACUCCCCGUUAUAUGUUUUAGAUACAAGUUCUUUGUUACAUAACUGGUUUGUGGAUAUUUUUUUUCCAGACUGUAGCUUAUCUUUUCAUUCUCUGUAAAGUGUUUUUCAGAACAGAAGUUUAAAAUUUUGAUAAUUCAAUUUAUCCCUUUUUAAAAAUAAAUUGUAUUAAAUUGUAGUAACUAAGAAACCUUUUAUUUUCUGUUUUUUGUCUUUUUAGGGCCGCUCCCACAGCAUAAGGGGGUUCCCAGGCUAGAGGUUGAAUCAGAGCCAUCGCUGCUGUCCUACACCACAGCCACAGCAAUCCCAGAUCUGAGCUGCAUCUGCAACCUACACCACAGCUCACAGCAAUGCCGGAUCCUUAACCCACUGAGCAAGGCUGGGGAUUGAACCUGCAUCCUCAUGGAUGAUAGUCAGCUUCGUUUCCACUGAGCCAUGUCGGGAACUCCUAAGAAAUCUUUUCUAACACAAAGUUACAAAGAUUUUCUUCUGCAUUUUCUUCUAAAUGUCAUCCAUUUUGGAUUAAUUUUUAUAUCUGCAUACCAACUUUAAAUUAAGAGCUCACAUAAACUGAAAAUACUGCUAAAUACCAGUUUUUGCCAUAGCGCAAGUUCUGCUUCCAUUCCCUGUUACAAUGCUGCCUUUACUUUGAAGGGACAGAUUUAGUGUGUUUAUUUUUUGGAAAAUAUUGUGAAGUCAAUAUUUUUUUUUGUCAGCUCUUUUUUACCACGAAGGCCAGAGAGUUUGGAGUGCUCAUCUUUUUUUUUACAUUUUUAAAGUACGUUGAUGUAAAUGAAUCUUUUUGGGGGAAUUAUAUCCCAUUACAAAAAAUUGCAAGGAUCCUGCUGUUUAAAGGUUGGGUUUUUACAAUAUCAGUCUCAUUAUUGACAUUUUAAAGCACAGAAACAACAGUAUUCAUGAUGAUUUGAAAACAAAGGCGGAGGAAGAGUGCCGCUGUUACCUGCCCUACACCCUGACUCGCACACAGUGAGAGCCCCACUCUUCCUUCUAGACACCUGUACACACAUGACACAUUAUAGUCCAGGGGAGAGAUGGGUAGCACUCCAUAUACUAUGACUGUUGGGUGAAUUUUUUUUUUUGUUUUUAUGGCUGCCCCUAUGCCGUAUGGAUGUUCCCAGGCUAGGGGUUGAAUGGGAGCUGCAGCUGCCGGCCUACCCCUCAGCCACAGCAACAUCAGAUCCAAGCCACAUCUGUGACCUACACUGCAGCUGUGACAAUGCCAGAUCCUUCACUGACUGAGCGAGGCCAGGGAUCAACAUCGGAGGCCACAUCAGGUCCUUAACCUAUUGAGCCACAAUGGGAACUCCAGAUCUUUUUUUUCUUUUAAGAUAAACAUAAAUAGAUAAAAUUGUUAGUGUUUUUCAUGGUGCCCCCUAGACUGCAAUAGGAUCAGUAGCGUAUUAGGAGCAUUGGAACACGUGUUUGAUCCCCAGCCUGGCACAGUGGGUUGAGGAUCUGGUGUUGCCGCAGCUACAGCUUAGGUGACAGCUGUGCCUGGGAUGAUCCUUAGCCCAGGUGCUCCAUAUGCCACAGGGCGACCAAAAAUGAAAAAAAAAAAGUUAUUUUUAGCCUUUUUCCCCCUAUCCUGGAGGAAUGUCUUAUGUACCUCCUGGGGGUACCACAGUCCUGAGAAGUUUCACAAUGCUGCAUCUCUCCCUGCAUUCCCCUUGUGUCUAGCAGAUGGUAGGCAAUCUGUGAGUCUUUGAGAAGUAAAUGUAUUUUCCCGUCUUAAACGGUGAAGUUGGAUUACUUCCUGUUAUCUUUUUCCAACCUGCUUUCUUCUAGAAUCUGUUUUCCCAUAACCAACUUCUAAGCUCUAAUUUGAAGGUCUUGACAGAUGGUUUUUUUGUUUGUUUGUUUUGUUUUUCCUAUGGCCGCACCUGCAGCAUAUGGAGGUUCCCAGGCUAGGGGUCGAAUCAGAGCUGUAGCCACCAGCCUACACCAGAGCCACAGCAACGUGGGAUCUGAGCCGCAUCUGCAACCUAUACCACAGCUCAUGGCAACCUAUACCACAGACCACGGUUGGAUCCUUAACCCACCGGGCGAGGCCAGGGAUUGAACCCGCAACCUCAUGGUUCCUAAUCGGAUUCGUUAGCCACUGAGCCAUGAUGGGAACUCCAACAUAUGUUUCUUAGAGGAUGACAUUCCCAAUUACUCAUACUGUAGGACCACGGAACUGUAAGAGAAUAUAAUUUUGGAGCUGAAAGGGGACUUGGAGUUCUGUUAGUCCAAAUCCUUUAUUAAAAUCCAACCAAAAAAUAAAUGAACUGUGGUUAAGUUCAUAGACUGGAAUAUGAUUCAUUAUUAAAAAGAGAAUGGACUAUUGAUAUAGGCAGUGAAUCGUAAAAGAAUUAUGAAGCAUGAAAGAAGUCAGGCAGAAAUCACUACUUAAUGUCUGAUUUCAUGUAUUAAAACUUAUGGAAAAUAUAAACUAUAGUGACAGUAGACAGGGGCUGCCUGAGGAUGAGGAGGGAAGGGACAGCUGGAUUCAGAGGGACACGAGGAAACUUGGGUAUGAUAGUCCAUUAUCAUGUUGUGGUGAUGGUUUUGCAGGUAUAUGCAGAUGCACAACUCAUCAAAUGGUACAUUUUAAAUAUGCACAGUUUAUUAUUAUAUGUCUGUUAGAUAGCAAUAAAGCCAUUUAAAGAAAAAAAAAAAAAAA